rnacentral:rRNA from 1 species
CACGUAGGGCGCAAGCGUUGUCCGGAAUUAUUGGGCGUAAAGAGCCCGUAGGUGGUUUGUUACGUCUGCUGUGAAAACCUAGGGCUUAACCCUGGGCUUGCAGUGGAUACGGGCAGACUAGAGGUAGGUAGGGGAGAAUGGAAUUCCUGGUGUAGCGGUGAAAUGCGCAGAUAUCAGGAGGAACACCGGUGGCGAAGGCGGUUCUCUGGGCCUUACCUGACACUGAGGAGCGAAAGCGUGGGGAGCGAACAGG